UCCUGUCAUAAAAUCCGUAAAUUCUUAGCUACACACGCAUAAAACCCAGUUAUCUAUCCCUACACCCUAGAGUAGGGAGCUCUACCUACACUACCCCCCAUCAAAACGCUACGUUUAAUCCCCCUACCUCCAUACCCACUGCACAGAUACUAACUAAUUUUACCCCCUAAAAACACACACACACACACACUUCAAAACCUCCAUUUGCAUUUUCUCUCUCCUCACCUAUUUUUUAGCCAUUUUCUCUAUCCUCAAAAGCUUUAAUGGAGAAAUUAUUGCAAAAUUAUCACAAAUUAUCACAAGAAUUUGUUCAAUCACUUCAAAAUUCAUCAAAACAAAGGCGAAAUUCGAAAAGAAACGAAGGAAACAGUUUCAGAAAAGAAACACAAAGAUUAUGGAGAAAUAGCUGUACGAAGAUAACUCGGGCAUUGAUUACGAACUGCUCGGGAAUAGUCAGGAGAGGAAUCGGAUCACCAACACCCCUAAAAUCACUGAUUCCAAGGAUCGGGCCCUUUCCCUUCACCAGAAGAGGCUUCAGGUUGUCAGCGCUGUUGAGAUCAAGCGUAGAGGCCUUGGUUUGAGAAGGUCGAUCCUUUCUUUCUUCCUUCCGCUAAAGAGCAAGCAGCUGCAACUAUUGCCACUGAGGUCUUCAGAAGCAGAGCUGGGCCUUCUACUUUUGCUUCUAAUCUAAGAGUGGAAGGAGCUGAAGAAGAAGAAGAUUCUGAAGACGCUCGUCUGCUGAAGACUUUGGUGAGACUUCCAGACUUGUCUGAAUUUUCUUUUUUCUUUUUUUUUUAUACUUGGAACUUGGAAGUCAUACUGCUCUUUGCCCCUUAUUCCUUCUGCUGCAGUUUGACGAAGAAGAAGGGAAUAGAGGAGAGCAAGCUGAAGUAGAGCCCCCUUCAGAAGAUUCGUUAGACGAAGAAAUGUUUGGCCCAAAGAGAAGAAGGGUCGUUGUUCUACCUGGGCAGUUUCAGGCUGCCCCUAUCCUGUUCUACCUGGGCAGUUUCUGGCUGCCCCUAUCCAUCAAAGAAACCUCGGCUUGAGGAGGACAAGCCGAAGGAAAAGAAAGAGAAGACUUCUCCCCCUCCUAAGGUUCGUGCCGAGGGAGACAUUUUGAUGAAGACUCAUCCCUCCAUCCCUCGGCACGUGGCCGAACCUUUUACUGAUGAGGUUCGGAGGGAAGCCGAUGCACUGCUUGUCUACCCUGAGGACGAAGUGCAAAUUUUGAGAGAAGACUCCAAGGGUCUUGGUGCCGAUAGUCUGAAGGAGACCGAAAUAGAAGAAAAAGCUGAAGAGGUCAAGAACAUUGAUCUGCCUUUUACUUCGGCUGCUGAAUCCUUCAAGACUUUUUAGUCUACAGAAAUGGGGUUCGGUUCCGCACCCCUGGUGUCUGUCCUUGAGUAUGCCCGAAACAUCUUUGAAUCCAGGCGCAACUCAGCCGCGGAGUACUUCGGCAACCUCUCCAGCAUGUCUGAGCUGGAGAGGGCCUGGGCCUGGACUCUUGGGGCUGCUUCUAGGGCAUCCGAGCCACUUGCUAGGGUGUCAGACCCCUUUACAGAGAAUCAAAGGCUGCUGAUGCAGGUAAACUUGUUUGUACUUAAGCUUUUUUACUUCAGUUUUUUAAGUUUUUUCUUUAUUUUUUUUUUUUUGAAGAAUUUAUGAGUUCAUUGCUCAGAAGUCUCAAACUCCGAGAGCAAUAUUCUCUCGAUUCUUUUUUUUUUUUUUUUUUUUUUUUACUUCGGCUAAUCAUUGUUCCUCAUCUCUGCAGGCCGUUCAUAACCACUUCCUGGUUGUGGAGAUGAACGACGAGCUGAAAGCAAAGGUAGAGAAGGUCGAGGAAGCUGAGUGCCAGGCCAAGAUUUCCGAGCUGAGGAGGCAAGAUGCCGAAGAAGCUGCCUCUGCCCUCAGAGAUAAGUUGGAGUCAAUGACUACUAGUUUCCGUACUUUCUGCCAAGAUUUAGAGAAGACCGUCUUCCCUGGCUAGACGAGGGUCAUGCGCUGAUCCAAGAGUACGGGGCUGCGGACAUUCCCAACCUCAAGGCCCGAAUUGAAUAAAGAGUACAACGGGAGGUUGAGACUUGGCGCACGAUGGUCGAGGACUUCAAGAGGAAGGCUGCCCAAGCCGAAGCCAAAGCUAGAAAGAAGCAAUCUAAGCUAGAGGCCGAGAUUCAACGGCUAAGGGAUGAGCUGAAAGGCAAAGAUGCCGAACUGAAUGAUGCGCGAAGCCAACUGAAGGCUCAGAGUGAAGGGGCUGCCCAGACCCAAGUUGAACUUGAGACUGCUCAAAAACUGCUGGAAGUCCUGGUUUACACCCAAGAGCAGUACGAAGAGGGCUUUGAGAAUGGCUUCAAGGUUGCUUGGCGAUUGGCUUUCCAUGUUAAUCCCGAGAUUAACUAGGAUUCGGAUGAAGCUUGGUCCAUGGACCCUCAAGACGCUCAUAUGAACGAGGCCAGUCCAGCUGAGGCUGCCUUCAUGGCUCGUCAAGUAGAAGCUGAGGCUGAAGAAGAGGAGGAAGCUACAAGGAAAGGGAGAGACUCUAAGAAAGCUCCUGCUCAGCCUGCCUCAUCCUUUGUCGGUGCCAAGGCCUCCAAGAGUCCAAGUGCAGCUGCUCGGCCUGAUACUGCCAAUGCUGAAGCAUAGGAACUUGGGCAUACAGAAUCUUGUAGAUCAACUUGUCCCUAACUGCUAUUUCUACCGCAUCUGCUUUUGCCUUUCUUUUGCUUCAGCUAGCCUUGAUUUGUACAAACUCUUAAUUUUUUUUACUUUAAGUAGUUGCACUUAGUUUGGCAGCUGUGUUUUCCACUUGUGGGCGGCUGCCGAUGUAGAAUUUCUUUGUACUUGGUCUGAAACUUUUAACUCGAAUGUGUCUCGGAGAUCCAAGCACAUUUGAAUUAUUAAUGCUUUACUUUACUUCAAUUUUCCAUUGCCUUAUUCUCUUUACUUAGCUUUUUCUUUGAAUUUUGCAAAAAAUUUCUAAGUGUUGAGCUUCGGCUUGGAAUUAUUA